GUUGCACUGCAUUGCAUUUAAAACAAAAAUAUCGCUCUGCUUGAGCUUAAAAUGCAAAGCUUUCUUUCUUUCUUUCUUUUUUUUUUUUAACUUACAGGCAAAGAACUUGCCAGUCAAGAUGAAAAACUUCUUCUAAUGGAAUCCAGCUUGAAAGCAACUCAAGAGCAGCUAAGUGAGCAAAUAGCAGAAACAGUUCGCCAAGAACAGAACAGUAGAAAAUCACAGACGGAGAGAUGAAGACCCAGAGAAAACAUAUUCUAACUUCUGAAGAAGAAAUUAGUGAUUACAAAAGGAACACCUGUGAAGAAAUUCCUUGCUCGGUGUGCUGCUGUAUUUUCUGACUUAAUCGGAUCAGACAAAGAUUUGGCAAGAAGUUUCUCUAGCAGGGAAGUAACAAGGCAGCAAAAAUCCCCAGGAAAAGUGAGGGCCACAGCACAGAACUGACCUUCUCCACGACACAAGAACUUUUCAGCAGAAAUUGGAUGUAGAACUUAGACAGGUGGAAAUACAGGAGGGAGUUCCUGCUAUGGUUUUUGGAGACUUUAUCUUAUUCAGAGAGUGGAAUCAAGAGAGGCAGAUUGCCACUGGGAGCAACUGGUGCCAUUAAGCUUCCAAAUUAGUCAGUUCUCCAGCUAAGUAGCUUGGGAAGGUAUGCUGAAGGUUUCAUCUUUCUAAAGGCUCUAUUUAUUAUCUUUACUUAUGUAAAGAGUUCAUUAGAAAGAAUUUUACAUUGAAAUAUGGUAACUUUUUAGCCUCCUUUAAUGCAGUCACGCGUCUUUAACCACCAGACAUAAAACUGCUUAAUUCUGUGGAUAUUAAUGGAUUCAUAUGUCAUAAAGCCAGAAGAAACAGUGUAAUCGAGUCUCAUAUGUGACACAAUACAGACCAUAGGACUUCAGUGAAUUAAGUGGUACGUCAUGUCUUAGUAAAUGUGACUGAAAUGGAGCAUAUUAAAAUACAGCAUACAUUUUUUUUAAUACAUUCUUUACUUAAAAAAGACACUGUAACAGAAUUUGUGACAAUCCGUCAUAGGUUCUCUCAAUAAAUCCAGCUUCUGAAAACAUGGAAUAUGUUGAUUCUGUAUCAUUUUAGCCUCUUAACUCAAAAUCUCAUAUGAAACUUAAUAUAGAACUAAAGUAUAUUAUCUUUUCAUCUUAAUGAACAGUACCUGAAAUCUCAUAAAACCAGUGCAGCUCAUAGUAGGACAAGCUGUGUUUACAGAACAGACACAGUAAAUUUUAGUAUUCAUAUUAAUCUAAUUAUAUUAAUCUACAUGUGUUCUUUAUAUCUACAGUCAAUGCAAAUUAGUAUGGAUUAUAUGAUAUCAGUCCUUCAAUAGUUUGAGUGGAAUAGAUUAGUAAAUGCCAGGGCAGAAUUAUUUGAAUCUCACAGUUAGACCCAAAAAAGUAUUAACAGAGAAUUAGUAGAGCAUUAUAGUAUUAGUUUCUACUUUUUAAAAAACCUUUCAUGGUUUCUAAGACCAUACAGCCUAAAAAUGGUCUAGAAUUUUUAUUUUUGAGAACUCUCCAAAAAUUCUUAGGAAUUCUAUACAGGGAAGUAAAAAUCUAUAUGGCCUUCUGUGACUGCAAUAGUUUUUAUCGUAAAUCAAGUACUGUGAAUUGCAUUGUUACUUUUGAUUUCUUAAAUGUCUUCUUUUUUUGGUGGGGGAGAGAUGCAGAUGUAUGUAAUACCAUAGAACAAAUUACAGAAAGGAUCUUCUUUUUAUACUCAAAUACUUUGGUUAAUUACAUCCCACUUACUAAUUUUUUUUGGGGUUUUUUUGUUUUUUUUUUGUUUUUCUCUUAUAAUACUGUUUGUGCACAUAUGCACAGUGUCAUAUGAGUGUAUCCAUGCAAACCAUUGUCCAUGGUAAUGUCUAUAUACAAGUUGUCACAUAAAAUUUAUAACAACUUUAGGACAUGUUUGCACUUCAAAAUAUGACUUGUUCAAGAUUCCUCUUGCCAGAAGAAUUACUAACUUCUGGCUUUGUAAUUAAUUCCUACUCAUGUGUUUUAAAUUGAUUGAACCAAUCAAAAAUAGAAAAAUUCAUAAUUAUUAAAAAUUAGUUCUAUAAUUUAUUUACUUUAUCUGUGGGGGGAGUUUUUUAAAAUGUUUCAAGGAAUACUUUGGCAAGUGCAGUUAACAUCUCCAAUACACUAAUUUUCUCUGAAGUUUCCGAGAAGUGCUCAAUUUUUUUUUCUAAGUCUAGUUGAAAACCCCAUGUUUUUAAAGUCUUCACAAAGUUCAUUUUACAUGUCCAGAAGUCUGGUAACUUAAAAUAACUUAACUUACCUUGCACCAGAUUUUGCUUAUGAUAUUUUUGAGAACAUUGCUCCAUUACAGAUUUCUAAGUCAGCAGCAUUAAGAUAUCAAAUGUUUCUAGAGCAGAUCAAAUUACUUAAAUGGCUCAUUUGUUUAUUUGUUUGUUUGUUCCUGGCAGCAAUGAUUAACUGGUAUAGUGAUUAUGAGAACAACAUUUCACAGUAUUAGUAUUCAAUUUGAACUUAUAAGUAAUUUUCUGUCAACACUAUUAUUAGUAAACUCCUGUGUAUAUGUUACUCAAAGAAAUCUUAUAAGUCACUUCAGAUUUUAAACUGUAUGGACUAUAUCUAUCUAAAACAAGCAAUAUGUAUCAAAUUAUUCUUUUGAUUUUGUUUCCCUUGAACAAAAAGCUUCUGUCAAAGGUGAAAAGAUCUUUACUUUUCUAGUGGAAUUCCUUUUCAUUUUUCUCAUUGUUAUGGAUUCAUAAGUAAGCAAUCUCACAUUUUAUUGCAAAAUAAGUAGAGGCAGGUGUCUAGAAGAUGGGGAGAAUGGCAUACUCAAUUUCCUUGUGGCAUAUAUUGAAGUUUUAGGAACAUAUUUGCCUGGCCUUCUGCUGGAUUUAGUCAAACUUCAGCUGACGCGUAAGUAAGCAUUGUAUAAACAUUUUCUUUGUUGUACCAAAGUUUAACUUCUCUUCAUUCAGACUUCAUGAUUUCUUCAUUUUUGCAUAUAGUUCAGCGUUGUUAUAACCAAUAUAGGAAAUACCAAACUGUCCAUAAGAAAAGGCAAAUAAAGCAUAAAAAAGCCAGACAUUGAGUUACAUAUUGUUUUAAUAUAGAAUAAGCAAUAUCUAAUAAAAAAGUUCCAUUGGCUUCCAUGUUGGUAUUUAGUGUUACUGUUACUCUAACAAUAGCUAUUAGAUUGCAAUCUUUUUGUUGCUGUAAGACCAUAAGUUUUACACAUCUUCUAACUACUCUGUUUCUGUGAAAUAUAGCUUUGUCUUUUGAAAGGCUAAUAUAACUUAGUGACAACAGUAAGCUGUAGGUUAAAAUGAAUUCUAUUCAAGGUGAUGUAACUACCUGUACAAAGUGGAAUUAAGGGUAUAUGAUCCACUUUUGCUUCAUUGCAUGCUUAGUGUUGCUUGGCAAUUUAGGUUUAUAAAAAUGCAUCGGAGUGAGUGCCAAAAAAAAGAGUCUGAGAGUCAUGGCUAUGAAGACUCUUCCUUUCAUUUCUCCUUAUUAUUCUUUAAUCAGAACUAUUGCUUGUAAGUCAUGUGAGACCAAUCUCCAAAAUGCAUGCCAAUGAAUAAUUUACUCCUGAUUUGAUACAAUCUCAGGAGUCAUUCAGGAAACCCACAUGACGUAUGCUGCUAAGUAGUAACCUGAAUGAGGGGUGCAUGCUGCUGCUCUGCCAUUUCUGCUUACAUACAUUUUAACUUCUCUAUCUAAAAUACUUUAUAGAUUAUGUUUUAAUUUAAUUUAUAUUUCUCUUAAUUCCUCAAUAAUUGUUUUCCUUUCCAGAUUAAUUUUAGGAAAUCUGUAGACAGCUCCAUGUAAACACCUUGCUUCAAAAUGGAAAUUUCUGGAAUUAUAGCCACAAUGUACUUACAGACAUCUGACAUUCUAUGUACUGUAUCUACUCCACAAAAAUUUAUGCUUAUGUAAAUUGGAAUAUAGAAUACUUGAUGUAUUUUAUGCUAUAUCACUGCAUGACUUUUAUCUUCUAGGUCAAACAUAAUUGAAAAAAUAUCUCAGUUUUGCUAAAUUGACUUUACAACACAAAAGGAAACUAUACAAUGAAGUUAUGUUAAUUUGAAGAAAAUAUUAUUAUAUAAGAGGAAUUCUAGCCUUUUCAUAUAUGAGAAGUUACAUUAAUACUAGAGAAACUACUUUGAAAUAAAUAAUAACCUUCAUCUUAGAACUUGAGAGCGAAACCAUGCAGGCUAGUACCUCCUAACUCUAUGCUGUCAAGGUGUGCACACAAUUUCUGUUACAUUUAUGUAUUUAGAAAAGAUCACACUCCAGUAAGGUUACAGCUGCUGGAACAGUUCCACAACCAUUGUGAAAAUUAAAGAAUUGAAGUAUACAAUUUUUAUUUCAUUUUUCAUCAUCAUAUUAAAUAUAAUUUUAGAUGUCAGCCAGAUAAUAUUUUAUAGAAGGGAAAAAGCCCUAAGUUUUCAAAUACAUCAUCCAUAUGUCUGAUUUUUAAUUUCCUUUCUUUGAAUAUAUUUGCCAAUAAAAUAUCCAGUGAAUUUGACAAAGUCUUUAUAUUUUUGCAGAAUAUUAGGUCAUGCUUGCUGAUGGGGAAGAGUACAGGAUGAAGAAGUGUUCUACAUUGAGAAAACAUUAUGAUUUCAUGCUAUGUGUACUGAUGCAGAAAAAAACUCAAAAUUGUCUAGCAAAUCCCAAAAUUGUCUAACAAACCUCAAAAUUUUCUAGCAUUCAGCUACAUUUAAGGAAAGACCUUUAAAAAGAGAAAUUGAACUAAUUAUGCAUAUGUAUAUAUAUAAUGUUUAUAUACCUUUCCUGCAGAAGAAAAUGUGCAUUAGUAUUCAUAUUUGACAUCCAAGGUGUGUUGAAAUUACUAAAAUAUUCAAUUAGUGGGUGAGAAGUAAAUAUCAUAUAGUGAUAUUCAAGUGCCUCUAGAUGUCCAUAAAAAACUGUAAAAUUAUGAUAUUUUGCAGGAGGUUAGAAAUUACAGACUAUGACCUUGUGUCUAUUUUAGUGUGAAGAAUCUGUUGAGUCGUCAAAUAAUAAGGAAAUGGACUUCCUGCAACAAAAGUCAGUUAAGACACACUGAGAUUUGCUGCAUGCAAUGCUUCACUCUUUUCUUCAAAGAAACAUAUUUUAAGGACUGAGUUUUAUGAAUAAUUAUUAAAAAGGCUGCAAUGAGCCAUUUUAUGAAUAUGAGUAUAUAUAUAACAUAGCAUGAAGAAUCUUGAACUCCUUCGGAAAAGAAUAUUCAGGAUUAAAAAGUGCAUAAGUUUUUGAGAAGGUAUCUGUAUGUUCAUAGAAUCAUAGAGUCACAGAAUGGUUUGUGUUGGAAGAGACCUUAAUGAUCACUUACUCCCAAACCCCUGUCAUGGACAGGGGCACCUUCCAUUAGACAGGUUGCUCCAAGCCCCACCCAACCUGUCCUUGAACCUUCUUAGGGAUGGGGCAACCACAAUGUCUCCGGACAACUUGUUCUGGUGCUUCACCACCUGCACAGUAAAGAAUUUUCCCUUAAUGCAUAAUCGAAACCUACUCUAUUUCAGUUUGAAGCAUUUCCCCUAUAUCCCGUCACUACAUGCCCUUGUAAAAUGUCCUUCUCCAUUUUUUUCUUUUUUGUAGGUCCCCUUUAAGAAGGCCACAAUUAGGUCACCCUGAAGCCUUUUCUUUUCCUGGCUGAACAAACCCAAGACUCUCAGGCUUUCCUCAUAGGAGAGGUGCUUCCAUUCUUCUAAUCAUCCUAGAGGCCCUCCUCUGGACUGGCUCCAACAGAACUGUUUAGACCUACUCUGGACUGAACAUCCACAACAACACCCAUAGCUCACACCUGUGGCCACUGGGCCGGGCCUGGGCCGUGACAUUUCCAGCGCUGGAGGCAUUGACAAGGGACUGAGCGAGCCAAGCUACUGCCCACAAAGGGGACUUUCUGAGUUUGUCAUCUCUUUUAGAGCAGCAAGAGAUUCUAUUGUUUAAUGUUGUUCAUUUUCUUGUACUAGUGGGUGCUUUACCUAUUAAAUAAAGAGGGGGUUUUUCCACUUUUGUCCAAAGAAAUAUAUUCCCGAAGCAGUAGAAGGAGGGGCCACUUCAAUCUGCUUUCUAGAAAAACCCCUUCAGAAGUUUUCUCCCAAAUCUGCCCUAAACCAGAACAAACUGAAAAACAGAAACUGUGGUUACCUUGCAACAAUACUAUAUGUAUUCCUGCUGUGAUACUAAAGAAACCCUGCAAUUCAAUACGAGUAAGUCCCAUAUACUUCCAACUAUAUCAAUAGUGAGGAAAGGGAAGAAUGAACUGGAAAAGCUACAUUCUGGCUUAAAAAAAAUGCUAUCUGGCUUUGAAUUAAAACUGUCUUAGAAUUGUAACCACUGUAGAAUUGAAGUCACACCCAAUUUUCACGUAGUUAAUAAAAACUGCUCACAAAUUGAAGUUGGGGAUACAAA